GAUGAACGCUAGCGGCGGGCCUAAUACAUGCAAGUCGAACGGUGUCUUCGGACAUAGUGGCGCACGGGUGCGUAACACGUAUGCAACCUACCUUACAUUGGGGGAUAGCCUUUCGAAAGGGAGAUUAAUACCGCAUAAGACAGUAGCUGGGCAUCCAGCAGCUGUUAAAGAUUUAUCGAUGUAAGCUGGGCAUGCGUCCAAUUAGCUAGUUGGUGAGGUAACGGCUCACCAAGGCAAUGAUUGGUAGGGGAACUGAGAGGUCAAUCCCCCACACUGGCAAUGAGAUACGGGCCAGACUCCUACGGGAGGCAGCAGUAGGGAAUAUUGGGCAAUGGACGCAAGUCUGACCCAGCCAUGCCGCGUGCAGGAUGAAGGCGUUAUGCGUUGUAAACUGCUUUUAUACAGGAAGAAACGACUCUUGCGAGAGGCAUUGACGGUACUGUAUGAAUAAGCACCGGCUAACUCCGUGCCAGCCGCCGCCGUAAGAC
rnacentral:rRNA from 1 species